rnacentral:rRNA from 1 species
AUUGAACGCUGGCGGCAGGCCUAACACAUGCAAGUCGAACGGUAACAGGAAGCAGCUUGCUGCUUCGCUGACGAGUGGCGGACGGGUGAGUAAUGUCUGGGAAGCUGCCUGAUGGAGGGGGAUAACUACUGGAAACGGUAGCUAAUACCGCAUAAUGUCGCAAGACCAAAGAGGGGGACCUUCGGGCCUCUUGCCAUCGGAUGUGCCCAGAUGGGAUUAGCUUGUUGGUGGGGUAACGGCUCACCAAGGCGACGAUCCCUAGCUGGUCUGAGAGGAUGACCAGCCACACUAGAACUGAAACACGGUCCAGACUCCUACGGGAGGCAGCAGUGGGGAAUAUUGCACAAUGGGCGCAAGCCUGAUGCAGCCAUGCCGCGUGUAUGGAGAAGGCCUUCGGGUUGUAAAGUACUUUCAGCGGGGAGGAAGGGAGUAAAGUUAAUACCUUUGCUCAUUGACGUUACCCGCAGAAGAAGCACCGGCUAACUCCGUG